AAAGAACACGAGUAGACGAUAAAAGAACACGAGUAGACGAUAAAAGAACACGAGUAGAGGAUAAAAGAACACGAGUAGAGGAUAAAAGAACACGAGUAGAGCGAUAAAAGAACCGAGUAGACGAUAAAAGAACACGAGUAGAGACGAUAAAAGAACACGAGUAGACGAUAAAAGAACACGAGUAGACGAUAAAAGAACGCGAGUAGAGGAUAAAAGAACGCGAGUAGAGGAUAAAAGAACGCGAGUAGAGACGAUAAAAGAACGCGAGUAGAGACGAUAAAAGAACGCGAGUAGAGGAUAAAAGAACGCGAGUAGAGAUAAAAGAACGCGAGUAGAGGAUAAAAGAACGCGAGUAGACGAUAAAAGAACGCGAUUAGAGGAUAAAAGAACACGAGUAGAGGAUAAAAGAACACGAGUAGAGGAUAAAAGAACACGAGUAGAGCGAUAAAAGAACACGAGUAGAGACGAUAAAAGAACACGAGUAGAGGAUAAAAGAACACGAGUAGAGGAUAAAAGAACACGAGUAGAGGAUAAAAGAACACGAGUAGAGGAUAAAAGAACACGAGC
ensembl:lncRNA